rnacentral:rRNA from 1 species
AGUGAACGCUGGCGGUAGGCCUAACACAUGCAAGUCGAACGGCAGCACAGGAGAGCUUGCUCUCUGGGUGGCGAGUGGCGGACGGGUGAGGAAUACAUCGGAAUCUACUCUGUCGUGGGGGAUAACGUAGGGAAACUUACGCUAAUACCGCAUACGACCUACGGGUGAAAGCAGGGGACCUUAGGGCCUUGGGCGAUUGAAUGAGCCGAUGUCGGAUUAGCUAGUUGGCGGGGUAAGGGCCGACCAAGGCGACGAUCCGUAGCUGGUCUGAGAGGAUGAUCAGCCACACUGGAACUGAGACACGGUCCAGACUCCUACGGGAGGCAGCAGUGGGGAAUAUUGGACAAUGGGCGCAAGCCUGAUCCAGCCAUACCGCGUGGGUGAAGAAGGCCUUCGGGUUGUAAAGCCCUUUUGUUGGGAAAGAAAUCCAGCUGGCUAAUACCCGGUUGGGAUGACGGUACCCAAAGAAUAAGCACCGGCUAACUUCGUGCCAGCCGCCGCAGUAA